AUUAAAUUCAAACGGACAAAACAAAAGAGCCUGGAAGGAAUGAGUAUCACGUGGGGCUCACAAACACCACAAAACAAAGAAAAUAUCUAAAGCCUAAAGACUCUAAAGUCUGAACUCUAAACACAAGUGGAUGACAGCCAAGACACACAAAUAAAGAAGAAGAGGUCGUCAGGUAGACCGAAACCAAAAGAAGAAGAAGAAAAAGAUGAGGAAGAAGAAGAGACCGAAAUUAAGAAGAAGAAGAGGAGGAAGAAAAGCACGAAACCCAGAAGGAGAUGCAUAAAUGGCUCUCCCUCCUCUAUGUCCAUGGUCAUUACCUUGCCAAACCCCGCUAGGAGGCUUAACCCCAGCAGCUUGAAAGAUCACUGCAGCAAUCAACGUAGCAACCACUAAGAGAACGUUUCGGACUUCGGUUGGUGGGUCCCAGUCUUCUUCGUAUUGGAAGUACUUAAACCAGUUCCUCCAGCUACGAGUAUUUUGAGGUGGGUUAUCCUUUUUUUUUUUUUCUGUGCAAGCAAUCAUAUAAGUCUCUGCAAAACCAUACGGUCUUGCUCUUGCAUGACGUUUUUUAAUCAUUUGUUUGCUAUAUAUAGCAUAUUUGUUUUUUUUUUUUCUUUAAACCUUAUUAGUUGUUGUUUUGGUCAAUAAAGAUGUGCCUUGUGAGGAAGAGAUAAGGAGGUUUCAUCCUUAUAGAAAUUAAAGGAAACUGCAAUGCAGUAAAAAUAUAUGUAUAUACAAUUCAGUUCCUUGGAAAAAGGAUGAAUUUUUUUUUUCC